rnacentral:lncRNA from 1 species
GGCUGAGAAUGCCGGUCUCGCGCAAGCGCGCACGCGCCGACCUUGAUCUCGUAGCCGGCGCCAGCAGCCGCGCUUUGGGGCGUCGGCUCACGUGGGGCCGGCAACGCGUCUUCCAGGAUGUUCGCGCGCUAGUCGCCGCUGAGGGGCCGGCGAUGCGCGAGGAGUUCCGGCGAGGAAGGUCGGUCAGUGGACAUGGCCGAGGCCCGCGGUGUCCGCGUGUGGGAGCUGCAGGGCUGAGGAGAGGCCGCCCGCAACCCUCGGGAAUCGUGUGAGGUGCCACUGGGGUCGCUUCACAUCAGGAGGCCCCGUCUCGGGGGACGCGCGCAGAGACGAGGUCUCACUAUGUUGGCCAGGUUGGUCUCGAAUUCCUGGCCGCAAGCCGUUCUCCAGUCUGGGCCUCCCAAAGUGCUAGGAUUACAGGAACAGAAUUGCCAUUGGGCCCAGGGAGAGACUACACUUCUUGUCUGCUUUGUUGCUAGUGCGGCCUUGUGGCCAAGCACAGAACGUGUGCAGUGAUGAUGGUGCAACUUCUAGGUCGUCCCCAGCAUGGAAAAUGAGCCCUGGGCAUGGAAGAUGAGCCCUGGUCCUGCAGCGGUGCUCUUUCCUCUUCUCACAAGCUGGAAUGUGCAUGUGCUCCCACCCAGCUUUGACCAUGGGGCGAAAACAGUACUCUGCAGUCUGGCAGAGCAACAAGGUGGAAAGGGCCUGGGUCCUUGAGUGACGUCAUGAGCCCUCUCACUGUCCCGACUUUGGGACUGUUAUAUGAUAAGGACUUUCUGUGAGUCACUGUCUUUUAGAGUCUCUCUGUUUUAGCUGCCUGGACUUUAUCCUGAAUAAUAUGGCUGUUAUCAUGGGUAUAGUGUUACUAUGAGCCUCAUCUAAGUAAUUUCUACUCUGCCUUUGACCACUAAACUCAUGUUGGACAAGAGUCACUUAGCAUUAUUUUUUCCUCAAUGAAGAGGUUAAGAUGGAGGGAGCAGGAGAAAUUGAGGCCUGUGUUUUACCAGAAGGUGAAGGGCUGUCUUUGCCUUUCCUACAUUUAUGAAGGAUAAUUCUAGACAAAAACAUUAAGUUCAUAUCAAACCAUCUGCUUUGUGAAGCCAUGGGCUUUGCUAGAACUUUCUGUGACAUGACAUUUAUUAACCCGAGUCUACCUGGAAGUUAGAGCUGAGGAAGUUUUCCUAGAGUGGAAAAAGUCCAAUGCACUUGUAAAAGUCAGACCAAGCUCAGCUCAGAUUUCAGUUUUAUUAGAAGUAUGUCACCUUCCUGAGCCCUUAUUAUUUCCCCAUCUGUGAAAUGAGGACACCGUUCUCUCUUUCUAAGCAUUGCUGGGAAGACCACACACCACUGAGACAGAAGGUGGGGCUAGCGCAGUUCUGGGCAUUUUGUACACCCCCAACAAAUACUGAUUUAUUUCCUUCUUUUUCCUUGCUCAGAAAAAAUUGGAGAAGGCUUUAUUUUAAAAUUCUGCCUGAAUUACUUUAUUUUAUUUAUUUAUUUAUUUAUUUUUUGGAGACAGAGUGUUGCUGUGUCACCCAGGCUGGAGUGCAGUGGUGCGAUCUCAGCUCACUGCAACCUCCUCCUGCUGGGUUCAAGCGAUUCUCCUGCCUCAGCC